ACAAUAUUUCAUUAAUUACUUGAGAUGUAAAAGGAUAAAAACAAACACAUUUUUAUUUGGUAUCCCACCUUAUGUUGUCUUAGUCUACCUUCCCAACUCGUGAUUUUCAUUCGCGCGUACUGAUCAAUGACAAUGAUCAGCACUUUAGAGAUUCUACACUCGUACUUACAUGUAAAAUUGACUGUGAUAAUGACACGAGGCAGACACUCAUUCUUACUCUCAUUUGGUCGGAAUUGAAAAGAGCUUACUCUUUUUUCAAAAAAAUAAAAUUUUUAUUUGUUCUGACUUUUUUGUUGCAGGUAAAAAUGGUGAUUUAUCUAAAAAAUUUUGGAGCACCAAGGAUGCUGGUCAGAAGCCUUUCACCUUCCAGAUUGGGAAAGGCUCUGUUAUUAAAGGAUGGGAUGAAGGUGUAAUGGGAAUGCAAGUGGGAGAGGUUGCUCGUCUGCGGGUACUAGUGCCAUCCUGAUUAGUUAUUAUAUUUCAUGAUGCUAAUAGUGUGGUUUUUGUGUGCGUGUGAGUGUGUGUGUUUGUGGGAGCUUUUAGAGAAUUGAGAAGGACAUUAUGCUUACACAAAAAAUUACUUUUGUUUCCAA